rnacentral:rRNA from 1 species
UACGGAAGGCAGCAGUGGGGAAUAUUGCACAAUGGGCGAAAGCCUGAUGCAGCUAUGCCGCGUGUAUGAAGAAGGCCUUAGGGUUGUAAAGUACUUUCAUCGGGGAGGAAAAACAAAACUAAUAAUUUUAUUUCUUGACGUUACCCGAAAAAGAAGCACCGGCUAACUCCGUGCCAGCAGCCGCGGUAAUACGGAGGGUGCUAGCGUUAAUCAGAAUUACUGGGCGUAAAGAGCACGUAGGUGGUUUUUUUAAGUCAGAUGUGAAAUCCCUGGGCUUAACCUAGGAACUGCAUUUUGAAACUGAAAUACUAGAGUAUCGUAGAGGGAGGUAGAAUUCUAGGUGUAGCGGUGAAAUGCGUAGAUAUCUGGAGGAAUACCUGUGGCGAAAGCGGCCUCCUAAACGAAUACUGACACUGAGGGUGCGAAAGCGUGGGGAGCAAAACAGGGAUUAGAUACC